UCUAACUUCGAUGGUAGUUAUACUUUGGACUCCAAUGAUUUUUAUUUAAAUGAACAUAGUUAGCCCCAGCCAUCUCCUUCCUUCAGUGUUUAUAUUCAUCGGAUCACUCCAAAACCUCCUCAACUGAAGCCAGUCUGAUCCUAUCUAUGCUUUCAUUUCAAAUUCAAAGAGCCUAUGGCACCAUAGCUAUCUCCAAAAUAGAUAAAGCAGGUGUGACUGUCCAAUCCCGA
rnacentral:lncRNA from 1 species